GUGGAGCAUGUGGCUUAAUUUGACUCAACGCGGGAAAUCUUACCGGGUCCGGACACACUAAGGAUUGACAGAUAUACGCUGCGUUAUGUCCUUCGGGACUGCGUGGCUCAAAGAUGCUAGUUCUUUCAUGAUUAUGUGAUAGGUGGUGCAUGGCCGUUCUUAGUUCGUGGAGUGAUCUGUCUGCUUAAUUGCGUAUCAAUAAUAGAGACCUAGUAUACGUGCAUUACUCAUGUGGUAGUGACCCCCUCUUCGCGGAGGCGCGUGUCGCACAUAUGGUAUGCGCACUGGUCUCAGAUAGCAACGAACGUGACCGUAUUCUAUUGUUGCAGUGAAUUAUACGUGCUGCUCUUUACCGAGUUAGUUACAUCCCACUGCUUAGUGUGCUCGGCGUAUUUCGGUACUCGCGUCACACAUUAAACUAUAGAGACCGCUGUUUCUUCUUUAAACCAGAGGAAGGAUAC
rnacentral:rRNA from 1 species